ACUUUGAACGACAAUACUGGAUUGAACGUAACUCGACCUUGCGCAUUACGCAUUUCAAUGGCACUAAUCUAGGGGAAGUUGUUAUGUCAGGCAUGGCCCUGUAUUCACUCGAUCUAGACAGAAAAACCAGGGAUAUAUUCGUUGGUGGUGUCCGUGCUAAUGGUACUAAAGGAAGUAUACAGAAGAAGAACCUAAACACUGGUACGAGAACUACCCUUAUUAGAAGCCUUGUGAAAGCGCCAGUGGGGAUUACAGUGGCUCCUAACGAAUUCCGUAUCUACUGGACGUAUCAAGG